rnacentral:rRNA from 1 species
UACGUAGGGGGCUAGCGUUGUCCGGAAUCAUUGGGCGUAAAGCGCGUGUAGGCGGCCCGGUAAGUCCGCUGUGAAAGUCGGGGGCUCAACCCUCGAAUGCCGGUGGAUACUGUCGGGCUAGAGUGCGGAAGAGGCGAGUGGAAUUCCUGGUGUAGCGGUGAAAUGCGCAGAUAUCGUAAGGAAGACCAGUGGCGAAGGCGGGUCUCUGGACAGUUCCUGACGCUGAGGUGCGAAAGCGUGGGGAGCAAACAGG